CAGGGUUCUUAAGAGGGUUUUUAAAAAUAAUGAAGCAUUUAAUUAAAUCAAAACUAAAGAAAAUUGCAGUUAUCGAUCCUUAAUAUAGGAUUUCUGUGACCGAUUACAAAGGGGGUUUCUAAGCCACGUGUCAGCAAACUAAAUAAUGAGGCAUUUUUUUUCUCUCUCCUCUUCUCUUUCGUGCCUCGUCUUCUCCGUCUCCUCCUGUGUUCUCCGCGGGACGACGAUGGCUUUUCGUUCUCUCCUUCACACCUACAAGGUUCAAACGAAAGCUAAAACCCCAUCUCACUUCGUUAAGCCUCCUCUACACUCGAUAAAUCUAUCUCUGUCUCCUUCUCCGUGGAUCUCUCAUUCGAUCGGAUGAUCUCUCUCCUCUGUUGAGUUUCAGAACUUCUCUGUGGAGAUCGAUGGCCACAUCCACUUGAAAGUGAGUUUGAUUGUAUUUUUGAAUUGGUUGCAGCUUGAUUUAAUAAUGGUGUUCUUUCUUGCAGUAAACCACAUGUAAAUGUGGGAACAAUUGGGCAUGUAGAACAUGGGAAGACUACUUUAACUGCUGCAAUCACAAAGGUUCUUGCUGAAGAGGGAAAAACUAAAGCUAUUGCCUUUGAUGAAAUUGAUAAAGCUCUCCAAGCCAAUGUUUUUGCUCUAGUCUGAUUCGGAUGGUCAAUCUAUGUUAAGAUUUGAUCUCGGCAUGAUCUUAAUCGCAACCGAUGAGUUCUCAGCGGGAAAUAAACUUGGACAAGGUGGAUUUGGAUCUGUCUACAAGGGGAUUUUACCGAGCGGACAAGAGAUAGCGGUAAAGAGAUUAGCUGGAGGGUCAGGACAAGGAGACUUAGAGUUCAAGAAUGAGGUUUUACUCUUAACAAGACUCCAACAUAGGAAUCUGGUUAAGCUUCUUGGCUUCUGUAAUGAAGGAGAUGGAGAGAUUCUUGUUUAAGAGCAUGUCCCUAAUUCAAGUCUUGAUCACUUUAUAUUCGAUGAACACAAACGUUGGCUACUUACUUGGGACGUGAGGUGUAUAAUCAUAGAAGGAGUUGCAAGAGGGCUUCUUUAUAUCCAUGAAGAUUCUCUUCUGGAUCAAAGCUUGGAGAGUUUAAGACACUUGCAAAGCUUGCUUUAUCUGACUCUGUUACUACAACAUCUAGGGCCUCAAACCUGAAUCCAUCUGGUAUUUCUCAGAACAAAGACUUAAUAAAAAAUA